UUUAUGGAGAGUUUGAUCCUGGCUCAGAGUGAACGCUGGCGGCGUGCUUAACACAUGCAAGUCGAACGAGAACGGAUUAAAGCUUGCUUUAAUUGUCAGCUAAGUGGCGCACGGGUGAGUAAUAUAUAGGUAACAUGCCCUAGAGAGGGGGAUAACAGAUGGAAACGUCUGCUAACACCCCAUAUGCCUUUAAGUCUUAAGACUGCAAGGGAAACAUUUAUGGCUCUAGGAUUGGCCUGUACGGUAUCAGCUAGUUGGUGAGGUAAUGGCUCACCAAGGCAAUGACACCUAACUGGUUUGAGAGGAUGAUCAGUCACACUGGAACUGAGACACGGNNNNNNNNNNNNNNNUAUAUGAAUAAGCACCGGCUAACUCCGUGCCAGCAGCCGCGGUAAUACGGAGGGUGCAAGCGUUACUCGGAAUUACUGGGCGUAAAGAGCGUGUAGGCGGAUAGAUAAGUUGGAAGUGAAAUCCUAUGGCUCAACCAUAGAACUGCUUCCAAAACUGUCUAUCUAGAAUGUGGGAGAGGUAGAUGGAAUUUCUGGUGUAGGGGUAAAAUCCGUAGAUAUUAGAAGGAAUACCGAUUGCGAAGGCGAUCUACUGGAACACUAUUGACGCUGAGACGCGAAAGCGUGGGGAGCAAACAGGAUUAGAUACCCUGGUAGUCCACGCCCUAAACGAUGUACACUAGUUGUUGUGAGGCUAGACCUUGCAGUAAUGCAGUUAACACAUUAAGUGUACCGCCUGGGGAGUACGGUCGCAAGAUUAAAACUCAAAGGAAUAGACGGGGACCCGCACAAGCGGUGGAGCAUGUGGUUUAAUUCGACGAUACGCGAAGAACCUUACCUGGUCUUGACAUAGAAAGAACUUUCCAGAGAUGGAUUGGUGCCUGCUUGCAGGAGCUUUCAUACAGGUGCUGCACGGCUGUCGUCAGCUCGUGUCGUGAGAUGUUGGGUUAAGUCCCGCAACGAGCGCAACCCUCGUCGUUAGUUGCUAACAGUUCGGCUGAGAACUCUAACGAGACUGCCUACGCAAGUAGGAGGAAGGUGAGGACGACGUCAAGUCAUCAUGGCCCUUACGACCAGGGCUACACACGUGCUACAAUGGGGUAUACAAAGAGCAGCAAUACAGUGAUGUGGAGCGAAUCUCAAAAAUGCCUCCCAGUUCGGAUUGUAGUCUGCAACUCGACUACAUGAAGUUGGAAUCGCUAGUAAUCGUAGAUCAGCUAUGCUACGGUGAAUACGUUCCCGGGUCUUGUACUCACCGCCCGUCACACCAUGGGAGUUGAAUUCAUUCGAAGCGGGGAUGCUAAAAUAGCUACCUUCCACAGUGGAUUUAGCGACUGGGGUGAAGUCGUAACAAGGUAACCGUAGGAGAACCUGCGGUUGGAUCACCUCCUUUCAGA
rnacentral:rRNA from 1 species